GAGGCCGGUCAGAGGCUGGUUGAGGCAGAUCAGAGGCUGGUUGAGGCCGGUCAGAGGCUGGUUGAGGCAGGUCAGAGGCUGGUUGAGGCCGGUCAGAGGCUGGUUGAGGCCGAUCAGAGGCUGGUUGAGGCCGGUCAGAGGCUGGUUGAGGCAGGUCAGAGGCUGGUUGAGGCAGAUCAGAGGCUGGUUGAGGCCGGUCAGAGGCUGGUUGAGGCAGGUCAGAGGCUGGUUGAGGCCGAUCAGAGGCUGGUUGAGGCCGGUCAGAGGCUGGUUGAGGCCGGUCAGAGGCUGGUUGAGGCAGGCCACAGAAGGCUACUUUUUGACACAAACCUGUGUUCUUUUGCCCAUUACGCAUUUUCAGAAUUUCAGGCCAACAACCGACGUUAGCUAACGUUAAGUUCUCUGUCGCUGAGAGCUUGAUUGACAGCCUGGGGUUAGCAACUGUGGUGAGCCUGUUGUGGCAAUCAACACAUGGCUCAUUUGAAUAUUAAAAUUAGCCAUGUGUUAAUAGGUCACAACACGAAAAUGUAACCAAUGUAAUUACUUAUUUUGACACAGCUUUUUUAAAACACAUUUUUAGCCAAUAAGUAUUAAACUAACGAGGUAAUGUGUCAAAAGGCGACCUUUUUUGUUAUUUUCUCAAAAGGAGGACAAAUGAGAGUCCGGCUUUUAAACAAUCCGGCUUUGGCCACCCUAC